CAAGGAAUCUUGGGCAAUGGGCGAAAGCCUGACCCAGCGACGCCGCGUGAGGGAUGAAGGCCUUCGGGUCGUAAACCUCUUUUAUGGGGGAAGAAGUUCUGACGGUACCCCAUGAAUAAGCCACGGCUAACUACGUGCCAGCAGCCGCGGUAAUACGUAGGUGGCAAGCGUUGUCCGGAUUUACUGGGCGUAAAGGGCUUGUAGGCGGUCCGUUAAGUCUGAUGUGAAAUCUCCCGGCUCAACUGGGAGAGGUCAUUGGAUACUGGCGGACUUGAGGUAGGUAGAGGAAAGCAGAAUUCCUGGUGUAGCGGUGAAAUGCGUAGAUAUCAGGAGGAAUACCAGUGGCGAAGGCGGCUUUCUGGGCCUAUCCUGACGCUGAGGAGCGAAAGCGUGGGGAGCAAACCGGAUUAGAUACCCGGGUAGUCC
rnacentral:rRNA from 1 species